ACCAACAGACAGGAAGACACCAAAUUGACAAACUAAGAAUCAAAAAUUGACAAGACGGAUGUGCUUAACACGAAGUUUUCCCUAAGCAUGCAAUCCUAGGUUAACUGAUAUUAAUAUUGACUCAACAAAAUUAAUUCAAAGCAAGCAAACAAAAUAGACACUUAAAACAGCAAGUAUUAAGUACAACUGUUUUGUGAAAAUACUACCCAAAUUUGUCCUAAACCUACCCCAAACAUGUAUUUCGAAUUCCAAGCCCAGAAAUAUGUUCAAGGUAUAUGAAAUAUGAUUUAUAUCAGUAGAUAUCAAUCAGAAUGAAGUUUGAACAAAUGAACCAAAGUGGCAGAAAUUCUUUUUUUUUUUCCUUUUUUUUUUCUUCUUGUUUUGAUUUUUUUUUUUUAUGGACAGAAGUAAAACACUGGAAAUACUAUUCUAAGAGUAUUAGAAUGACAGCAUAUGAAUUAGGGCAGAAAGCAUAAACCAAAUCACUAAAGAUAGUAAUUCAGCCUAAACAAGAAUUUAGGGUAAAAUUUGAUUUGAACAACAACCAAACAAUGUAUUCGGCUCUAAUAGGUAUCCCAAACCAGAUUUCCAAAGUGAUAUAUUCAGCCAAUAAUGGACAAAAUUGAAUGCAAAGACUCAAAGGAUAGUUAAGAAAUUAUUACUAAGCCUAGCUUUGAUACCAAUUGAUGCGGAACCCCAGCCUAUUAGAGACUGAAACGACACAUACCCUAGUAAAAAGAACUUAAUUCAGAAAAUAAUUCCCCAAUCUAAAGCACCCUUAAUUAACAUGCAAUUAAGAACACUUAUAAUGGAUUGAUUUCAAGAGCAGCAAGAAUAAGAAACAUACAAGUUAGUAUCAAACCUUAUUCGUGAUGCAAUGUCAAGAACCAAGAUCUCUCUUAAGCUCUCAAAGAAGAAUCGCAUAAAGCAAUUGUAUUGAAUAAUUGAUAAUCUGUCUACAAUAGAAAAAUGGAUGCUUUAUAUAGCCUAAAUUAAGACCCAUGAUCUUUGCCACUACCCACAACUAUGCAUGGACCCAUGAUCUAUGCCACUAUCCACUACUAGGUAACCACCCACUACUGUUUAACUACCCACUACCAAAUAACUACCCACUACUGGUUAACUACCAACUACUAAAUGACUACCCACUAUAAAUACGGAAUUUGAAUUGUCAAUAAGGACACAUUUGGCCUAAU
rnacentral:lncRNA from 1 species